rnacentral:rRNA from 1 species
AUGAAAGAAGAUGAAGAACCUCGUGAGCUUUUUCGGAGAGUAACCAAACUCGCGGUCUCUCUCCGAGAUCAUGGAAGUAAGGACACGGAUGACAAUUGGAUCAAGCGCAAAUUCCUCAAGGCAAUGAUGCCCUACCACAAAGCCAUGUCGUCCGUAAUUCGUCAAAGGCCGGACUUUCACACCUUGUCCUCAAGUGAAGUGUUGGAUGAGUUUGUUGCUAUGAGAAUCUUGGACAAGACCGCCGACAAUGCGGUUCUUCGCUCUCAAAGAGUAAAGAAGCCCAACCUUGCUCUAAAGGCCAAGGUUAGUAUGGAGGAAGAGGAUGAAGAGGAAGAAGAGGAGGGCAACCUCGAAGAUACGAAGUAUGCCUAUCAUGAACACAUGGCUCUUGCUUCAAGGCAAUUUUGGAGCAAGAAGAACACAAGGCCAAACUUCAACAAGAGCAAUUCAAGUGGCGCAAAGGGCAAGCAACGAGUGAGGACUUGCUUCAAUUGUGGCAAUGUGAGCCACUUUGUUGCGGAGUGCCCUUACAAGAAGAGGGAAGACAAUGGUGGCAAGCUCAUUAGAAAGGACAAGGCCAAGUCGUUCCCCAACAAGAGAAACUUCACCAAGAAGACUCAUCCCAAGGCAUUGGUGGUACAAGAAGAGUACAAUGAGGAUGAUGACGAUGAUGAAGAUGGUGAGUCGGUUGCCAUGGCCUCCGUUGCCAUUGCGAAGACUCCAUGGAUGUCUCUCUUCAACUCACCCAAUGAGAACAUCACCGCCAAGUGUCUCAUGGCUAAAGCCACCAACAAGGUAACCCCCAACAUCAAAACUACCAUCAUUAAUCAUCCUUCUUCGAUGGAUAGCAUUGAUGAACAUGAGGGGACAAAUGUGGAGGAAAAUGAGUUUGAGACCUUUAUGGGUAAACUCAAGGGUAAAUCCAAGAAGCACUUCGUUGCUCUCUUGGAACAACUUGGUGAAGCCAAUGACACGAUCGAGGCUCACGAAGAUACCAUCUCUAAGAUGGAGGGGCAUAGUCGUGACUAUGCCGAUUAG